AAACAGAAGGAAUCACUGCACCUCCAUUUCACUACUUUUGCCAUGGAUGAUGAAGAUGAGGAAGAGGAUGAAGAGGGUGAUAGUGAAGGUGUAAGCUGUUACCUAAAUCCUCAUUUGCAGGUGUAUUGUUGACUCAAAACUGUUAACUACUGGUGGCCCUUCCACUGGGAAGAUGAUCAUGGCUGUCUUACUCAUAUGGUCACAUUCAGAUCCUGCAUAGAAAGAGAAGUACUUACACAAGUUCCUGGCCUCAAACACUGAAAUGGGAAAAAGAAAAAUUCUUAUAAAAGAAAAAAAAAAGACAAGUUCACAAAGAAGAGGCAUUAGGCUGGCAAGCAGAGCUGGUGGGAUUUACCUUUGACGUAGUGAGCUCCUUGAAGCUGCAA
rnacentral:lncRNA from 1 species